rnacentral:rRNA from 1 species
AUUGAACGCUGGCGGCAUGCCUUACACAUGCAAGUCGAACGGCAGCACGGGUGCUUGCACCUGGUGGCGAGUGGCGAACGGGUGAGUAAUACAUCGGAACAUGUCCUGUAGUGGGGGAUAGCCCGGCGAAAGCCGGAUUAAUACCGCAUACGAUCUACGGAUGAAAGCGGGGGACCUUCGGGCCUCGCGCUAUAGGGUUGGCCGAUGGCUGUUAGCUAGUUGGUGGGGUAAAGGCCUACCAAGGCGACGAUCAGUAGCUGGUCUGAGAGGACGACCAGCCACACUGGGACUGAGACACGGCCCAGACUCCUACGGGAGGCAGCAGUGGGGAAUUUUGGACAAUGGGCGAAAGCCUGAUCCAGCAAUGCCGCGUGUGUGAAGAAGGCCUUCGGGUUGUAAAGCACUUUUGUCCGGAAAGAAAUCCUUGGCUCUAAUACAGUCGGGGGAUGACGGUACCGGAAGAAUAAGCACCGGCUAACUACGUG